AAGCAAGAAGGGACUUGCCCCAUUGCACAGGAGGGGAAACCGGGACUGAUGAUGAAGCAGUUAGGCUGCAGCUGCUGGAUGUGUCUCCUGAUCCCUGAGACCCACUCCUCCCAUGCAUCCUCAGAGUCCCUCAAACCCCACAUCCAGAGCCAGACAGGAUGAAGCGACUAAGACACAGAGCACUGAAGCAAUCUGCCCCUCAGAAGUCCCCCAGAGGCGCGUGAACCCUGAGCUGCCCCCCAGACUCUGGGUUUCCCCUUCUUUUCCCCAAACAGCCCUAGCUCCCCCCAGGCACUCGCGUUGCUCAGACCUUUGUGAUGGACUCUGAGUGUUGUGUGUGCAUUUCUCUGUGUUUGUUCAUGUACAAGCGUGCUCGUGUGUGUGUGUGUAUAGAUGUACACAUGUACAUGGGUGUGUCUGGGUGUGUGAUUUGUUUGCAUAUUUGUGUGUGGGGCACGCGCAUGUAUCCUUGGCUGCAUUUGUGGGUGCGUGCAUAGGUGUGCUUGUGUGUGCAUUUGUAUGUGUGCACACAUGUGCGUGCAUGUGCAUGGGGGGAUUGCAUGCAGGCAUGUGUGUAUCCUUGUGUGUUUGUGUAUGUGCAUGUGUGUGUGUGCAUGUGGGAAUUUGCAUGCAUGCUUGUGUGUGUUUGUGUAUGUGCAUGUGUGUGUGUGCAUGUGGGAAUUUGCAUGCAUUCUUGUGUGUGUUUGUGAGUGUGUACACGUGCAUGGGCGUGUUUGAGUGUGUACAUUUGUGUGUGCACUUAUUUGUGUGCAUCUGUGUGGGGGCAUCUGCAUGGAUCCUUGUGUGCAUUUGUGUGUGUGCACACGUGUGCACGUGUGUGCAUUCAUUUGUGUAUGUGUGUGGGUGUGUGCAUGUGGGCAUGCGUGUGUAUCUUUGUGAGCAUGUACGUGUGUGUCCUUGUGUGCAUGUCUGUGCGUGUGCAUACAUGUGCGUGUGUGCAUUUAUGCGUGUAUACUUGUGUGUGCACUUGUAUGUAUGCACAUAUGUCUGGAGGACAUGGCCUUGCCCCAGGGUCUGGGGACCCUUCCCUGCCUGCCCUGCCCUGCCCUGCCCUGCCCUGAAGUCUGGGGAACUUGGCCCUGCUCCGGGGUCUGGGGAACCCUGCCCUGGGCCCCUGCCUGCCCUGGGCCCCUGCCUGCCCUGGCGGCUCACCUUGCUCUCGGGCCUGCUGAAUGGAAUCUGCAGCCGCUCCAUGGCCUCGAUCAUGGCCCGCAUGGACACGAAGAUGUUCUGGUAGACCAGGGGCCGGAAGCCCUUGCGCUCCUCCUCCGAGUAGCCGGCGCCGUGGAUGAUCCGCAUCUGCUUGAUGAAGAUGAGACACAGAGGACCAGAGAGGUUUAGUGACUUAAUUUGGGUCACACAGCAAGUGGAACCCCAGGGGAGUAAACUUGGGGUCGUGUGAGUCCUUCACCAACAAAAUGGGACACGGCCAGUCGAGCUGGGGAAAUAAAUGAUAAUCCUGUUGCCACCCGCGACACAGAUUUGAUGACUCAGGGAUGGGUCAUCACCCGAAGCCUGAAGAGCUGCGUGAGAACCCCCUCUUUGCAAUCCAUUGCUGUCCUGAAGCCACAAAGGAUUCUGGGACCUCUCCAUUGCCCCCCGACCCCCAGACAUCCCCCAGCUCCUGGAUAGAAAUGGUGGGAGUGAUCUGUUUUAGGAUACCCCCAAAGGCCAUGCGGCCCAGACGGGAAGUUCCUGCUUCCUCCUGGGCACGGAGGAGGACAGGAGGAAGUGGAACCGGCAGAUGCCAGGAAGGAACUGGGUUAACCGUGCCAAGCCCCAGUCAUCACAAGGCAACUGGAGCCAGCUAUGUGCACAGAGUCCAGCACCAGGCCCUCACAGGAAACGCAGCUGCUGGGGAAGUGGGGAGCCAGGCCAGGCAGCCGCAGGGGCAGGAGGCUCGGCCUCUCAGUCCCGCUCUGGCUCAAACUAGCUGCUGACCCCCAAUCAAUCCUGCUGCCUCCUUGGGCCUCAUUUUCCCCAUCUGGCACUGGGGUUCUGUGGUGUUUCUGUCCCCCAAGGCAGGCGAACAGGGCAGUCAGGAGCAUGGACUUUGGAACCAGAAUUCUAGGUGCGAGUCUCAGCUGUGUGACCUUGGGCAAGUCGCUCUGCCUCUCUGAGCCUCAGUUUAUCCUUUGGGGGAAACUAGGAGUGCCUGCCUCAAAGUGCUAAGAACAGGCCGGGCACAAUGGCUCACAUCUCUAAUCUCGUCACUUUGGGGAGGCCAAGGCAGAUGGAUCACCUGAGGUCAGGAGUUCGAGACCAGCCUGGCUAACAUGGUGAAACCCCGUCUCUACU
ensembl:lncRNA GNA15-DT GNA15 divergent transcript